UACGGAAGUUUUCCAUAGAUCACGUAACAAUAACCCACACAUCCUACAUCAUAAAGCAGUUUACAUACACCACCACUGCCACUCAGAUACUAACCUACACAUCAACGUUGGUGCGGACGAAUGUAAAUACAGAGAGGAGCACUAUCACAGAUUACCUUACAGUGACUGACACUGUAUAUGUCCAGAGAGGCUAUGGAUCUCUUCCUUAAGGCACCAGCUUGUUAAUACUUUGUUUCAAGGUAUAAGAAUAAAUAUUAUUUUAG